rnacentral:rRNA from 1 species
ACGAACGCUGGCGGCGUGCUUAACACCUGCAAGUCGAACGGAAAGGCCCUGCUUGCAGGGUACUCGAGUGGCGAACGGGUGAGUAACACGUGGGUGAUCUGCCCUGCACUUCGGGAUAAGCCUGGGAAACUGGGUCUAAUACCGGAUAUGACCUUCCAUGUAGUGUGGGGGGUGGAAAGAUUUAUCGGUGUGGGAUGAGCCCGCGGCCUAUCAGCUUGUUGGUGGGGUAAUGGCCUACCAAGGCGUCGACGGGUAGCCGGCCUGAGAGGGUGGACGGCCACAUUGGGACUGAGAUACGGCCCAGACUCCUACGGGAGGCAGCAGUGGGGAAUAUUGCACAAUGGGCGGAAGCCUUAUGCAGCGACGCCGCGUGGGGGAUGACGGCCUUCGGGUUGUAAACCUCUUUCGACAGGGACGAAGCUUCGGUGACGGUACCUGUAUAAGAAGCACCGGCUAACUACGUG